rnacentral:tRNA from 1 species
GGGCGUUUAGCUCAGUUGGCUAGAGCAUCGCUUUUACACAGCGAGGGUCACUGGUUCGAGUCCAGUAACGCCCA